AAUUGUUGUUUUGCAAAUGAAAAGGUCUGCAACGAAACUGAUUGUGUUAUAUGUCUCUUGUGUUUCAGGAGUUGAUUGUAUGCAGUGCAAGUUUUGUAAGUUCACAAGCUCAAGUUCAAAAGCACAUCAGACAUUCUGGCUCAUAGAAAAACAGCAGCUCUGAGAGGACUCCCCAUCUUUGUCCGAGAUGACACCUGGAAUGUUCAACUACUCAUCCAGAGGAACAGGUGGUUCGUGAUGUGACUGUUGCCAUCCUCACUGUUUUUGAAGAUGACGAUGCACUGAAUGGAGUUGAUGUGGCUGUUGUGUUGGAAGGGGCCAUCAUCCUACAAGACUUGCCGGACAUCUGCACUGCCUUUGCAUAUCUUUUUGGCCUGUUGUACACUAUGAACAUUGAUUAUCCGAAGGAGAUGUCCUAUACAUUUGAGGCAGUCCAGUUCAUC
ensembl:lncRNA